rnacentral:rRNA from 1 species
AUUUGCGCAGACUAACACAUGCAAGUCGAGCGGUAGAGAAAGCUUGCUUUUCUUGAGAGCGGCGGACGGGUGAGUAAUGCCUAGGAAUCUGCCUAGUGGUGGGGGAUAACGUUCGGAAACGGACGCUAAUACCGCAUACGUCCUACGGGAGAAAGCGGGGGACCUUCGGGCCUCGCGCCAUUAGAUGAGCCUAGGUCGGAUUAGCUAGUUGGUGAGGUAAUGGCUCACCAAGGCGACGAUCCGUAACUGGUCUGAGAGGAUGAUCAGUCACACUGGAACUGAGACACGGUCCAGACUCCUACGGGAGGCAGCAGUGGGGAAUAUUGGACAAUGGGCGAAAGCCUGAUCCAGCCAUGCCGCGUGUGUGAAGAAGGUCUUCGGAUUGUAAAGCACUUUAAGUUGGGAGGAAGGGUAGUAACCUAAUACGUUGCUACUUUGACGUUACCGACAGAAUAAGCACCGGCUAACUUCGUGCCAGCAGCCGCGGUAAUACGAAGGGUGCAAGCGUUAAUCGGAAUUACUGGGCGUAAAGCGCGCGUAGGUGGUUCAGUAAGUUGGAAGUGAAAUCCCCGGGCUCAACCUGGGAACUGCUUUCAAAACUGCUGAGCUAGAGUACGGUAGAGGGUGGUGGAAUUUCCUGUGUAGCGGUGAAAUGCGUAGAUAUAGGAAGGAACACCAGUGGCGAAAGCGACCACCUGGACUGAUACUGACACUGAUGUGCGAAAGCGUGGGGAGCAAACAGGAUUAGAUACCCUGGUAGUCCACGCCGUAAACGAUGUCAACUAGCCGUUGGGAGUCUUGAACUCUUAGUGGCGCAGCUAACGCAUUAAGUUGACCGCCUGGGGGAGUACGGCCGCAAGGUUAAAACUCAAAUGAAUUUGACGGGGCCCGCACAAGCGGUGGGAGCAUGGUGGUUUAAUUCGAAGCAACGCGAAGAAAGCUUUACCUGGCUUGACAUGCUGAGAACUUUUCUAGAAGAAUAGAUGCUGCGUUCAGGAGCUCAGAACACAGUGCCUGCAUGGCUGUCGUUCAGGCUCAUGUCUUGAAAUGGUAGGUAAGUUCGUACGAGCGCUACCAUGCUUACUUACCAGUCACGUUAAUGGCUG